rnacentral:rRNA from 1 species
GAUGAACGCUGGCGGCGUGCUUAAUACAUGCAAGUCGAGCGAACAGACGAGGAGCUUGCUCCUUUGACGUUUGCGGCGGACGGGUGUGACACACGUGUAUACCCUCCCUAUAUGACUGGGAUAACUUCGGGAAACGGGAGCUAAUCCGGGAUAAUAUAUUGAACCGCAUGGUUCAUUGGUGAAAGACGGUUUUGCUGGCUCGUAUAGAUGGAUCUGCGCUGUAUGGGCUGGUUGGUAAGGUAACGGCUUAUCAAGGCGAGGAGGCGUGGCCGACCUGAUAGGGUGGUAGGCCACAUGGGAACUGAGACAGGCUCAAGACUCCUACGGGAGGCAGCAGUAGGGAAUCGUCCGCAGUGGGCGGAAGCCUUACGGAGCAGCGCGGAGUGAGUUAUAAAGGUGUUCGGAUCGUAAAACUCUGUUAUUAGGGAAGAACAAAUGUGUAAGUAACUAUGCACGUCUUGACGGUACCUAAUCAGAAAGCCCCGGCUAACUACGUG